ACGUAGGGGGCUAGCGUUAUCCGGAUUCAUUGGGCGUAAAGCGCGCGUAGGCGGCCGCGAAGGCCGGGAGUCAAAUGCGGGGGCUCAACCCCCGCCCGCUCCCGGAACCGCGCGGCUUGAGUCUGGUAUGGGAGGGUGGAAUUCCCAGUGUAGCGGUGGAAUGCGCAGAUAUUGGGAAGAACACCGGUGGCGAAGGCGGCCCUCUGGGCCACGACUGACGCUGAGGCGCGAAAGCUAGGGGAGCGAACAGG
rnacentral:rRNA from 1 species